UCAACUUUUACCCUCUCCAAUAAUUUUUCAUUCAACACUCUAUCCUACCACUUUUUAUUUCAUAUUUUUAUUUCAUAUUCAAAUUGCAGGGUUGUUUACCCAAUGGGAAAAUGAUAGCAGUCAAGCAACUUUCUUCUAAAUCAAAGCAAGGGAAUCGUGAGUUUUUAACUGAGAUAAGCAUGAUUUCUGCUUUGCAACACCCUUAUCUUGUUAAACUGUAUGGUUGUUGUGUGGAGGGAGAUCAGUUGUUGCAGAUAUAUGAAUACUUGGAAAACAAUAGUCUAGCUCGUGCUUUAUUUGGUAAUUUUUCCUAUAUGGUCGGUCUACUUUGGGAUGCUAUUUAUGUGAUAUGGACUAUGGACUGCUUCAUCUUCAUCAGCUGUAGACCUUUAUCCUGUCCAACUUGAUUCUUCCUAUUGGGAAGAAAAAUAAUUAAGAAUGUGUUAGACACUUAGACAUCUUAUUAAUAAUUAUUAAUUAUCAUGAGAGGAGGCUCACUUAGGAAAAUUGCUUUUUAGGCCCCCGUAGUGCUCUCAGACCCCCUGCUUUUGGACUUUGCAUUGUACGAUCCGAAGUCAAAACAUAUUCAGAAUGUAAGAUCCGAAACGCAGAGGCAUAAAACGAUGCUCAAUCUUCUUCUCCAUCGGGAACGCAGCCGCACCACCGUACCAUCUUCUUCUUCUCAGCCGCAAUCCCACUAGAAAUCGUAAAUUGGUCAAACAUUCAAUCUCAAGCAGUGAUCAAUCUUCUUCUGAAUAUAGAAAAAGGACCGGAACUGGAAGCCGGACGAACACUCCUUGCGCUGGGAGCUCCUUCCAUUCUGAACUGAAAUCAAUUCAAAGCAUAACAGUAUGACUUCGAAUGAUGCUAUCUUUAUUGAGCAACUUGGAUGGUAGCAGAAAAUGUCCAAAUGCUUGGUGGAGUCUUGUUUUUUAUGCUUUUGUUUCAACAUAGUUACUUGACUUGGUUUCUAAUUAAUUUUAGCUUUGUUAUUUAAUUAUAAGCCUUUAUUUUUGAGUCAUUAUUGGAUGUUUUGUCAUGCAAACAGUUUUUUUAAUAAGGUUGGUUUAUAAGUGUUUA